rnacentral:rRNA from 1 species
UGAGGAAUAUUGGUCAAUGGGCGAGAGCCUGAACCAGCCAAGUAGCGUGCAGGAUGACGGCCCUAUGGGUUGUAAACUGCUUUUAUAAGGGAAUAAAGUGAGCCUCGUGAGGCUUUUUGCAUGUACCUUAUGAAUAAGGACCGGCUAAUUCCGUGCCAGCAGCCGCGGUAAUACGGAAGGUCCGGGCGUUAUCCGGAUUCAUUGGGUUUAAAGGGAGCGUAGGCCGCCCUUUAAGCGUGUUGUGAAAUGUAGGGGCUCAACCCCUGCACUGCAGCGCGAACUGGAGGGCUUGAGUACACGCAAGGCAGGCGGAAUUCGUGGUGUAGCGGUGAAAUGCUUAGAUAUCACGAAGAACCCCGAUUGCGAAGGCAGCUUGCCGGAGUGUGACUGACGCUGAAGCUCGAAAGCG